AUGGACAAGAGUAUACGUACAAUUGAAGAGAAAGCUACAGCGACGUGCCUCGAUGAGGUAGAUCGGACUGUUUACGCCUCCUUUCGAACCGCCGCGAACUCGCUGUCUCAGCUUUAUACUCAAUCCAUGAACACCAGAAACUAUCUUUCCAAGCCGGUGAACGCCAUGGUCUGGAAAAACUGUACCAAUGGAUAUGGAGACAACAAGAAGGAGGUUCAAGAGUGACUCCUGUGGAUAUAAUCAAUUACAUUCAGAACGAACUGGAGUGCUGCACAGAGGAACCCCAAUAUCCCCAAGAGCGCCGCCACCUCAACCAACAAUGCGUGUCACAAAUACAGGUCUCAUUGCUUCUUCAGACACGUCUUGCCCAACAGCUGUUCCAGUGGUUCGGUCUGAGCAAUACGAAAACCAUGCCAAGAACUCGGUUUUCUCAAACGCCCUUUCAAGUCCAAUACGUCGUAGUCUGCAGAACUAUCAAAUUCCGCAGGGAGGCUACAUAUCUGGUGGAACCAGAAGCAGUGAACUGAACAGGGGAUCUACCUCUCCAAGUUCUUUUGAUUCUUCAAUGGACAUGCAUGCAGAUUAAGAAGCUAUAAGAUGUAAUACCCCCUCUUGUGAUGAUGUUUGCUCUAUACAAAACUGGUUUGGUUUUUCAUAAUGUAUCAAUUGGUUGUCAUCUUGAAGGUGGUUUGCUGGUAUUUUGCUCAGGAUUUCUGAUGGUCACAUGUAAAUCAUUGUGUCUGGAAUUCAUAUUUCUUGAUUAACUU